rnacentral:rRNA from 1 species
UACGAAGGGGGCUAGCGUUGUUCGGAAUUACUGGGCGUAAAGCGCGCGGUAGGCGGAUAUUAAGUCAGGGGUGAAAUCCCGGGGCUCAACCCUGGAACUGCCUUUGAUACUGGGUAUCUGGAGUUCGGGAGAGGUGAGUGGAAUUCCGAGUGUAGAGGUGAAAUUCGUAGAUAUUCGGAGGAACACCAGAAGCGAAGGCGGCUCACUGGCCCGAUACUGACGCUGAGGCG